AUGGUAGAUGUAUGGGGCUUGACCCAGGCCCUGUGUACACGAAGUAAAUGCAUAAACACUGGAGAGGAGUGUGCAUACCUACCAGUGUUAUCACAGCAUAAGGAAGGAUUUGGCAACGGGAGCGAAGAUGCAGGUGUUUAUCUUACCCUCCCUGCAGUGCUGGAGUGGCUGUGGGGGAAAUCUCUCCUUCUCCUGAAGUUCCGACUGGCCAUCUGCCUGCAGCUGACCUCACAGGAGGAACCUGCGGCCUGGCAUUCCACGUGGGCAUCUGUGCACUCAGCCCAGCUGGUCCCACUCUGCUGCUGUGCUCUACGCAUUUCAUCUCAAUUGGGUGACAUACUUGAAUAUAGCAAUUAUGAGAACAGCAACCUCAGAAGAAUACCUGGCAUCCAGACCAUCCCAGCCCAUUUCCACAAGCCCAGCCUGACUCCUGGAGAUUGUGAAUAG
rnacentral:lncRNA from 1 species